rnacentral:rRNA from 1 species
AUUGAACGCUGGCGGCAGGCCUAACACAUGCAAGUCGAACAGUAACAGGAAGAAGCUUGCUUCUUUGCUGACGAGUGGCGGACGGGUGAGUAAUGUCUGGGAAACUGCCUGAUGGAGGGGGAUAACUACUGGAAACGGUAGCUAAUACCGCAUAACGUCGCAAGACCAAAGAGGGGGACCUUCGGGCCUCUUGCCAUCGGAUGUGCCCAGAUGGGAUUAGCUAGUAGGUGGGGUAACGGCUCACCUAGGCGACGAUCCCUAGCUGGUCUGAGAGGAUGACCAGCCACACUGGAACUGAGACACGGUCCAGACUCCUACGGGAGGCAGCAGUGGGGAAUAUUGCACAAAGGGCGCAAGCCUGAUGCAGCCAUGCCGCGUGUAUGAAGAAGGCCUUCGGGUUGUAAAGUACUUUCAGCGGGGAGGAAGGGAGUAAAGUUAAUACCUUUGCUCAUUGACGUUACCCGCAGAAGAAGCACCGGCUAACUCCGUG